rnacentral:lncRNA from 1 species
GAUCGUGCCGUACUCCCGGUAGAAAAUUCUCUAGGAGGUUCAAUUCACCGCAACUACGAUCUCCUCCUGCGUCACCGCCUCCAUAUCGUCGGCGAGGUCCAGCUCCCCGUCCACCAUUGCCUCUUAGCUCUUCCAGGCGUUCGUAAAGAGUACCUAACCAGAGUUAUAAGCCAUCCACAAGCCUUAGCCCAAUGCGAGCUCACUCUCACAAAACUCGGCCUCAACGUAUCUCGUGAAGCCGUCGACGAUACAGCGGGAGCAGCGGAAUACAUCGCCGCUAACAAUCUCCGGGAUACAGCGGCAAUCGCUUCCGCACGCGCCGCCGAACUGUACGGUCUACAGAUUCUAGCGGAGGGAAUCCAGGACGAUUCAAGCAACGUGACUCGGUUCGUGAUGUUAGCGAGAGACCCGAUAAUACCACGAACAGACCGGCCAUUCAAAACGAGCAUAGUGUUGUCGGUGAAGUCCAGCUCCCCGUCCACCAUUGCCUCUUAGCUCUUCCAGGCGUUCGUAAAGAGUACCUCACCAGAGUUAUAAGCCAUCCACAAGCCUUAGCCCAGUGCGAGCUCACUCUCACAAAACUCGGCCUCAACGUAUCUCGUGAAGCCGUCGACGAUACCGCCGGAGCAGCGGAGUACAUCGCCGCCAACAAUCUCCGCG